GGAUCGCUGCUCGGGAACUAACUGGGCAUCGGUCGGCGAGUGACCCCGUCAAUCCAAACUCCAAAAGAAAACAAGUUCAUCAAAUGUCAUCUCAAGAAUAUCCAUCUGCAUCCAGGCCACAUGAGUGUGAGAAAUGACUUGUCGGGCAGUACUACAGCUAGUGUUCGCCUGUUCCGAUCCAUCUCCUGUCAGCUUUCACACCCCUGUUGACAAACUGAAUUUCACCUUGAUUUCAUCUUUCCAGAUAAUACAGAUUAACUGGGAGCUGGGUCAUUUUUUUUGUUUGCUUUGAAAGCAUGCAGAAAGAGAAAUCCUACAGAAGAGAUACAGAUGUUGACUGAGAGAAUCCUGCCCUCCUAGUAAGCGAUUCAGGCCAACGGAUUGCUGGAGACAGAGACACCAGGGGUACCAGCAACUUCUGUAAGACUUUGAGAGCAGUAAAUGUAAAUGCUUGUGUUAUUAUGCUA